rnacentral:rRNA from 1 species
GGCCAGACUCCUACGGGGGCAGCAGUGGGGAAUAUUGGACAAUGGGGGGAACCCUGAUCCAGCGACGCCGCGUGAGUGAAGAAGUAUUUCGGUAUGUAAAGCUCUAUCAGCAGGGAAGAAAAUGACGGUACCUGAGUAAGAAGCCCCGGCUAACUACGUGCCUGCAGCCGCGGUAAUACGUAGGGGGCAAGCGUUAUCCGGAUUUACUGGGUGUAAAGGGAGCGUAGACGGCGAUGCAAGUCUGAAGUGAAAGCCCGGGGCUCAACCCCGGGACUGCUUUGGAAACUGUAUGGCUGGAGUGCUGGAGAGGUAAGUGGAAUUCCUAGUGUAGCGGUGAAAUGCGUAGAUAUUAGGAGGAACACCAGUGGCGAAGGCGGCUUACUGGACUGUAACUGACGUUGAGGCCCGAAAGCGUGGGGAGCAAACAGGAUUAGAUACCCGUGUAA